rnacentral:tRNA from 1 species
AAGUAAGUGCCUGAUUAAAGGGUUAAUUUGAUAGAUUAAAUAAUGUUAGAUUUUUUUAUCAUUACGUA